UACGUAGGUGGCAAGCGUUGCCCGGAAUCAUUGGGCGUAAAGCGCGCGCAGGCGGCCCGUUAAGUCUGAUGUGAAAGGCCCCGGCUCAACCGGGGAGGGCCAUUGGAGACUGGGAGGCUUGAGUAUAGGAGAGGAGAGUGGAAUUCCACGUGUAGGGGUGAAAUGCGUAGAGAUGUGGAGGAACACCAGUGGCGAAGGCGACUCUUUGGCCUAUAACUGACGCUGAGGCGCGAAAGCGUGGGGAGCAAACAGG
rnacentral:misc_RNA from 1 species